GUAGAAACUGUAACAGAUUACAGAGAGGUAGAUGUAGAAACUGUAACAGAUUACAGAGAGGUAGAUGUAGAAACUGUAACAGAUUACAGAGAUGUAGAUGUAGAAACUGUAACAGAUUACAGAGGGAACGGAGAGGUAGAUGUAGAAACUGUAACAGAUUACAGAGAGAACAGAGAGGUAGAUGUAGAAACUGUAACAGAUUACAGAGAGAACAGAGAGGUAGAUGUAGAAACUGUAACAGAUUACAGAGAUGUAGAUGUAGAAACUGUAACAGAUUACAGAGGGAACGGAGAGGUAGAUGUAGAAACUGUAACAGAUUACAGAGAGGUAGAUGUAGAAACUGUAACAGAUUACAGAGAGGUAGAUGUAG